CUUACUGUUAGGGAAGGACUUGAUGAAUUUUUCUGUGUUUUCAUGAUGCACCCUCUCUCCAUCGGUGAGCAGGUUGAAGUGUCUGGACAUGCACUGGAUGGCGCAGCCCAGCUCGCGGUGCUCGAACUUGAAAUCGUCGCGCCAGAAGUGGAAGAACUCCUCCAUCUUCUCUUCUGUCAGGCCGGACUGU